rfam:Salmo salar isolate Sally breed double haploid chromosome ssa10, whole genome shotgun sequence.
UAUGCACACUAUUGUAAGUUGCUCUUGAUAAGAGCGUCUGCUAAAUGACUACAU